rnacentral:rRNA from 1 species
UACGUAGGUGGCAAGCGUUGUCCGGAUUUACUGGGCGUAAAGAGCGCGCAGGCGGUCGUUCAAGUCGCGUGUGAAAGCCCCCGGCUCAACUGGGGAGGGUCACGCGAUACUGAUCGACUGGAAGGCAGGAGAGGGUAGUGGAAUUCCCGGUGUAGUGGUGAAAUCCGUAGAUAUCGGGAGGAACACCAGUGGCGAAGGCGACUACCUGGCCUGUUCUUGACGCUGAGGCGCGAAAGCUAGGGGAGCAAACGGG